rnacentral:rRNA from 1 species
GAGCGGCGGACGGGUGAGUAAUGCCUAGGAAAUUGCCCUGAUGUGGGGGAUAACCAUUGGAAACGAUGGCUAAUACCGCAUAAUGCCUACGGGCCAAAGAGGGGGACCUUCGGGCCUCUCGCGUCAGGAUAUGCCUAGGUGGGAUUAGCUAGUUGGUGAGGUAAGGGCUCACCAAGGCGACGAUCCCUAGCUGGUCUGAGAGGAUGAUCAGCCACACUGGAACUGAGACACGGUCCAGACUCCUACGGGAGGCAGCAGUGGGGAAUAUUGCACAAUGGGCGCAAGCCUGAUGCAGCCAUGCCGCGUGUGUGAAGAAGGCCUUCGGGUUGUAAAGCACUUUCAGUCGUGAGGAAGGUAGUGUAGUUAAUAGCUGCAUUAUUUGACGUUAGCGACAGAAGAAGCACCGGCUAACUCCGUGCCAGCAGCCGCGGUAAUACGGAGGGUGCGAGCGUUAAUCGGAAUUACUGGGCGUAAAGCGCAUGCAGGUGGUUUGUUAAGUCAGAUGUGAAAGCCCGGGGCUCAACCUCGGAAUUGCAUUUGAAACUGGCAGACUAGAGUACUGUAGAGGGGGGUAGAAUUUCAGGUGUAGCGGUGAAAUGCGUAGAGAUCUGAAGGAAUACCGGUGGCGAAGGCGGCCCCCUGGACAGAUACUGACACUCAGAUGCGAAAGCGUGGGGAGCAAACAGGAUUAGAUACCCUGGUAGUCCACGCCGUAAACGAUGUCUACUUGGAGGUUGUGGCCUUGAGCCGUGGCUUUCGGAGCUAACGCGUUAAGUAGACCGCCUGGGGAGUACGGUCGCAAGAUUAAAACUCAAAUGAAUUGACGGGGGCCCGCACAAGCGGUGGAGCAUGUGGUUUAAUUCGAUGCAACGCGAAGAACCUUACCUACUCUUGACAUCCAGAGAACUUUCCAGAGAUGGAUUGGUGCCUUCGGGAACUCUGAGACAGGUGCUGCAUGGCUGUCGUCAGCUCGUGUUGUGAAAUGUUGGGU